UCGUCUGUCUAGCACAGUUGUUGGUGAAGUUUAGUAACUCCGUGUCAGACCACUAGCACAAAACCUAGUCAGUUAACAUAUAAAUGCCAGCCGCUACACAACCCAGUAUUCCAUAUCUGAAGUGCACGUAGGGCUUUGUCGUAGAGCAGGUGAUCAGCUGUAGGCUUGAUGGCUGAAGUUUUAACACAUUGAUUGGACAGACUCUAAUUUUAUGAGAUAUAAUUUAUGAGAUACUUGUAUAAAAUUUUAAUCUCUUCUUGACACUUAAGAAAUUUUUUCAAAGUUCCUUUGGUAUUUUUUCCUUAUAUGUCAAAUUUUUAAAUAUAGAUACCAAAUUGAAUAUAAAAUUCA
rnacentral:lncRNA from 1 species